rnacentral:misc_RNA from 1 species
UUUUGAAACAAACAGCUGUUGCUUCAAAUUAUAAGUAAAGUAAUGUUCAAGAGUCACAUUUUUCUUUUGACGACCGCAUGAAGAGAAAGGGAUUGAUAAAUAACGAAUCCAUGGAUUCACAGGAAUCAAUAGAAAUGGAGGAUUACUCAGAUGAGGAUGAUGAAGUUUUUUUAAGAAAUCCUCGAAAUGGAGAUAGCGCAGUUAAAAGACCUCUUAUGAAAAAGUCUAAAAAAAGUCAAAACGGGGAUUUUCAUUCAGCAUCAAUUCGUUCUUCAAAACCAAAGUGUCGGCGAUGUUGUGGGCCCCUUUGUAUUAUGUUUUUAGGAUUCAAAACAAUAAUCGGAAUUUUGAUCAUAACGAUCGUUCUCGUGAAUUAUUUCACAAACGCAGGAUGGUUUUUGUUUAAUUGGAAUGGAAAUAAAAUAUCACACUACGCACCAUGUCAUGAAUUUAAAGUUUUUUCCGUGUGGCAAAAAAAUUUCCCAAAAUUCAUUUCAGAAGGGAAUAUACGACUGGUAAAUAUUACAGGUGAUGAGUUUUAUGAUAUCGUCGUACCUUUUGGAACGGGUUCUGAUGGUUAUGAUGUCCCAGAUGUGGUUUGUGAUAUUUACUUUGAUGGACAGAGGCCAUGUCUAGGAGGAAUCAUGGCACUAGAUGGGAAGACAGGAGACACUCUCUGGGUAACAUAUACAGAGCAUGAAGUCUUUGCUCUUAUGUGCCAGGGGGAUUUGAAUUCAGAUACUAUCGUGGAUUGUUUAGCGGGAGGUCGAGCAGGAUUAUUUGUUGCAAUCAGUGGAAAAAACGGGAAAGUUCUUUGGAAAUUUGAUAACGACUUGAUUCAAUCGGAUCUGAUGAGCGUUUAUGUGUCUCAGUUUAUACAUGAUAUUAAUGGUGAUCAUAUUCCUGAAAUAUUGGCUGUACAUGGAGGCGAUGAGCUAUCCGAUCCAGCCUUGGAGAAAAAAAUGUUUGGACGUCUUAUAAUCUUUGACGGUAAAAGUGGAGCUAUCCUCAAAUGGAUGCAAACUCCAGAUCGUAAAGAAAGUUAUUAUCAUCCUCAAAUCCUAACUCGUAUGGAUGGGGAAACCCUCAUACUCUUUGGAACGGGAGGUAACUCUCGACCAGGAUCCCUCUAUAUAAUAUCUCUACAAGAUUUGUAUAAAAGAAACAUCGAUGAGGCAUAUCCCAUAUAUCAUGACGAAGAAAAAGGAAUGCUGACGCCAGCGACUCUUGUUGAUAUAAAUCGCGAUGGAGUUGAGGAUAUCAUUAUUGGGACUUUCAAUAGUCGGGUAAUUGCCUUUGACGGAAUGACAUAUCGACAAAUAUGGAAUACAACAUUCAGUAAGAGUGAAAGUUAUGGAUCCAUUGCCGUAGGCUACUAUGAUGAAGAUGAUAUUCCUGACUUCUUCGUUAAAUAUCAAAUGGGAAAAGGGUAUCCAGUAUAUGAGUUCGAAAAGUCCGUGGUUUUGUCAGGACUAAAUGGAAGUAAGAUAUCCAAGGAGUGGAUUGAUUCCAUUGGUUCACAAUCUUCCCCGUUAACUAUUUCAGUCGCAGGAAAAGGAAAUGAUAUUUUCUUACAUUGGACUUCAAAUUGUAAAGGACAUGAACGAGAAAGACUCAAAUUCUCAUUCCCACCCGGAACAAGCAUGCAUCAACAAAGUAGAACAGAUAUUUGCAAUGCUCUAUUUGAUGCUAUACAAAUCUCUCAAUUCUCUGCAUUUUCAAGAUACUCUGGUUCAAAUCAAACAGUUAUUUAUGAUUCACAAACAUGGGCAAGUUUUGAACACUCAGGAACAAUAAAUACGUCGGCCCUUGCCACAAAAUAUCUGAGAAAAACUCCAGCAUUAAAAGAUUAUUCAUUAAAUUACGGGGAUGAUCAACAGCAGUAUUCUAUAUUUCCAUAUGUCAAAAACGAUUUUGAAGAUAAAUUAGCUCUACUAGAAAAAGAAUUGGCAGAAUCUCGAGUUCCAAAUGAUGAGGAUGAAGGAAUUGCAUACUUGGAAGGUGAAUCCUCUCCUAUUCUUUUACCCUCUUCCUCUCGCAAAUCUUCUGUUAAAAAAAUUCAUUCAGAAGUCUUACCCGACAUUCACUAUCCUCUGAAUCAGCCUCAUAAUAUAAGAAAAUUACCAAAUGAACUAAACCUGGAUUUAGACGAUACCUUUUCAAGAACAAAGAGAACUGCAUCGCAUGAAUUUUGGGGUAUUCAUCGUCUUAUGUCUACAGGCCAUCAAACUGUAGAUGUUUACUCAAAUUAAUAUUAUUGAUUGUAUGGUUUUUGAGGUACACUAGCACCUCCAAUUAUACAUUCGAAUGACAGUAUUGAUAUUGUUAUUGCAUCACAUUGGAUAUAUCCAUCUAAAACACCUGUUCUACAGCCAGAAGAUGAAGAAUGUAUCAUCCAGAGUAAUAAAGAGAUCGAUAUAAAGAAGUCUAAUUUAAAUGAAGAUGAACUAGAA